UGGCUGCAUCGGGAANAGGGCCUCCCAGUG
rnacentral:piRNA from 1 species